UACAGAGGGUGCAAGCGUUAAUCGGAAUUACUGGGCGUAAAGGGCUCGUAGGCGGCCAACUAAGUCAUACGUGAAAUCCCUCGGCUUAACCGGGGAACUGCGUCUGAUACUGGAUGGCUUGAGUUCGGGAGAGGGAUGCGGAAUUCCAGGUGUAGCGGUGAAAUGCGUAGAUAUCUGGAGGAACACCGGUGGCGAAGGCGGCAUCCUGGACCGAUACUGACGCUGAGGAGCGAAAGCCAGGGGAGCAAACGGG
rnacentral:rRNA from 1 species